rnacentral:rRNA from 1 species
UACGUAGGGGGCAAGCGUUGUCCGGAAUCAUUGGGCGUAAAGAGCGUGUAGGCGGCUUGGUAAGUCCGCUGUGAAAGUCCAGGGCUCAACCCUGGAAUGCCGGUGGGAACUGUCAAGCUUGAGUCCGGAAGAGGCGAGUGGAAUUCCUGGUGUAGCGGUGAAAUGCGCAGAUAUCAGGAGGAACACCAAUGGCGAAGGCAGCUCGCUGGGACGGUACUGACGCUGAGACGCGAAAGCGUGGGGAGCAAACAGG